rnacentral:rRNA from 1 species
AGUUGGUGGAGUGAUUUGUCUGGUUAAUUCCGUUAACGAACGAGACCUCAGCCUACUAAAUAGUUGUACCAAUUUUUUGUUUCCUUCGGGGAGCGAUGUGAUUGGUGAAGAUACUUCUUAGAGGGACUAUUGGUGUUUAGCCAAUGGAAGUUUGAGGCAAUAACAGGUC